UGCAAAUACGGACUGUCAUACAGAAAACAGCCUAUAUUACAUACAUUACAUACUCUUGAUGUUCAUAUAAACCCAAUACAAAGGCUAUUUUAAUACUCAGCUAUCCAAAAAUGAAUUUUAUUGCACACUAGCUCUCAUAUUUGAAAAAUCCACAGGGGCCAAAAUGCGAAACUACACACCUAACUGUGGAGUGCUACCUAAUCAC
rnacentral:lncRNA from 1 species